UUAAGAGUUUGAUCCUAGCUCAGGAUGAACGCUGGCGGCGUGGAUAAGGCAUGCAAGUCGAACGCCGGAAGUCGGACAUCGGACGCCAAAGAUCGGAAAUGUGAUUGGUAGAUGACAUUUUCCGAAACUGGUUUUCGUUGUCCGACUCCCGGAGUGGCAGACGAGGUAGUAAUAAGCAGGAAUCUACCCUGGAGUCGGGCAUAGCUAGCUGAAAGGUUAGGUAAUUCCCGAUGGUCCGAGCACUAAUUUUAGUUCUUUAAAUUUUGUUUCGGGACAGAUUGAACGUUUGAGUCCGAAAGAAGUCCGAUUGAGAUCGGGCGGGCGGCGCGGUAAGGGGUUAACGUCGCGCUAUAAGGUUAAUCUCCGGAUCUAUCUCAAAACCCCAAUUUGAAGAAUUAAAAUUAGUGCUCGGUAAAGGCGCAAGCUGCUCCAUGAAGAGCCUGCUCAGUAUCAGCUAGUUGGUAGGGUAAUGGCCUACCAAGGCUAUGACGCUUAGGGGGGGUGAGAGCCUGUUCCCCACCGAUGGGACUGAGAAACGGCCCAUACACCUACGGGUGGCUGCAGUCGAGAAUCUUCCGCAAUGGGGGAAACCCUGACGGAGCGACGCCGCGUGGAGGAUGAAGCGCUUCGGCGCGUAAACUCCUUUUAUGACCGAGAAAGUUUAUUGAUAGUAGGUCAUGAAUAAGAGGUUGCUAAACUCGUACAACAAAAAAGUUUGGCAACAAGUGACAAACUUGUACUCGUAAAAAUCCGUGGUGCGACUUUCCGCCGUAAGGCGGAAUAGAUAAUUCGGCUUAUAUGUUCCCGAUUCGUCUGCGAGUGUAGCGGGUAGUUACAAAUCGCAAUCCCGCCAGUCGUGAGGUCGGUGGGAAUACAAAUUGGGAAACUCGUUGGGAACAGUUUGAUUGAAAAAUCGAUACUGUGUUACCGGCGGGGCUGGAACCCUGUGGUGUGCUGCCCUAAUGAGGAUCCACAGACAAUCAGCAGGGAAGUCCGCUAGCGAAGCUCGCGAGUCUAAAGUGAAAAGUUUUUAAGGUCUAUAAAGUCAUCUGCUUUAUAAAUUUCAACUUGAGGAGCUUAAAACUCGCGCGAAGCGGCGGACCCCUCAGAGACUGAUCUUGAGAAAGCGUAGUGAACCUACACUUUCAACACAGUGAGAUAGCAAGCGCUAUCAGACGCCGAACUCCAACACUGAUUUUUUAGCUUAAAUAAAAAAGGCCUGAAGGGUUUAAUCUUCAGGCCCGGAAGGAAGCGGCUGUUGAAUGCAGCUGCUGACGCGGUACGUACGCGGCACCGCUCCCAACCUCAGGGACUUUCCUAACUGGUUGCGUCGAUGUCCCUUGAAUCGCGUGCGCAACCGGUACCAAAGGUAUGCUAGCAUAUCCUGUGGAUUGCGUCAAGAGCUAAAAAAUCAGUGUUGGAUGAUGAUAUAGUCCGAUCUCCGUGGCGACACGGAAUGGUGUAAUAACCAUCUCGCAAUGAAUUGCGAUCUUCCGCGACUGUCCUGCGUGCAGUCCGGGCGGGUCCGCGAUCUGUUGCGAAGCAACAAAUGUUGGCCAGCAGCAGCGGUAAUACGAGUGCCUCAAGUGUUAUCCGGAAUCAUUGGGCGUAAAGGGUGUGUAGGCGGUCUUGUUAGUCUCCCGUUAAAUUCUUCGGCUUAACCGGGGGCGCGCGGGGGAAACGGCAAGACUUGAGGAUGUGAGGGGCGUGCGGAACUCUAGGUGUAGGGGUGAAAUCCGUUGAUAUCUAGGGGAACGCCAAAAGCGAAGGCAGCACGCUGGCGCAUUCCUGACGCUGAAACACGAAAGCGUGGGGAGUGAAUGGGAUCAAUAUUGCGAGGCUGAAAUCCGCGGAACUUCGCGGAACGAGCACCUUUGCCUGCCGGAAGGCAGAUAAAGGUUUUCCAAAUGCUUUGCGAUUUGCGCGCUAGGGGUAGCGCGAAGGUCCCUUUAGCGAAGCGCGGAACUCUGCGGAAUUAGCGCAGAAGUUGCGCGGAACAUCACUUGCGCGCGAGGUAAUGGGACGGAGGUGUAAUCUGCUGAUCCCAUCGGAGGCCGUUAUCUAAAACGGCCCUUAACGCGGUGGUUAAAUGUCCCCGCGUGAUGCCGGGAGGGUGGUAAUCCCUCUCUGGUCUUCGGCCAAGAGCAAUACCCAACAGGUUGUCAGGGUUUUUGUUUGGCCGUUGGCGACGAGGCGAGCCGUGUUUGGUUUUGUCUCGUCGCCCCCAUUACUUCGCGCGCAAGCAUCCGCUCGGGUGCGGACGCUAAAGAAAAUCAAGCUGUAUCGGGGGAACUCUCCGCCGCUGGCGGAGACAAUCCCGAGGGAAGGCCAAAUCCAGCCCCGGUUUCGGUAGCCAAUGAAACCAGGGGGCUGGUGUGGAACCCGUAGAGACUAUACGCUUGAUCCGCCUUUUAGUGCGGAAUGAGAUAGUCCGAACUCUAUGGUGACAUAGAGAGCGCGGCAGAAAUGACCGCGUCAGCUUGCACAUUUUGUUGAGAAGCGUCUUUCUGACGCCAAGGGCAGUUGAGAACGAGAGCGGCUGACGUGAACCGGCGGAUUGCAGGUUUAAGUUCUGCUUUUGGAAUCAACUCAAUGGGCGUUUAGAGUCUCAACUAGGUGUGCAGGCCGCAGCAGUUUUAUUGAAAUAUUACAUUACAUUUUAAGAUUUGAGACUGGCUGCAAAGCAACAAAAUUGUAGAUACCCCAGUAAUCCACGCCCUAAACGAUGAUCGCUGGCUUUUCGGAGUAUCGACCCUCUGAGAGGCGAAGCUAACGCGUUAAGCGAUCCGCCUGGGUAGUACGGCCGCAAGGCUAAAACUCAAAGGAAUAGACGGGGACUUGCACAAGCGGUGGUCCAUGUGGUUCAAUUCGACGGUAAACGAAAAACCUUACCAGGGCUUGAAAUCCAACUGAACUUUUCCGGAAACGGAAAAGGCCUCACAAGGGCAGUUGGACAGGUGUUGCAUGGUUGUCGUCAGUUCGUGGUUUGAAUUGUUCCCUUAAGUGGGGUAACGAACGCAACCCUCGUCGUCUGUUAUAAAUGUCAGGCGAGACUGCCCCCUCACGGGGGAGGAAGGAGAGGAUAACGCCAAAUCAGCAUGGCCCUCUGAUGUCCUGGGCUACACACGUGGAACAAUCGCCGCUACAACGCGUUGCGACGGCGAAAGCCUGAGCCAAUCGUUAGAAAAGCGGCGCCAGUUCGGAUUGAGGUCUGCAACUCGACCUCAUGAAGUCGGAAUCGCUAGUAAUCGCGGAUCAGCAGUGCCGCGGUGAAUACGUUCUCAAGUCUUGUACUCACCGCCCGUCAAGCUAGGGGAGCCGGGAGUACCCGAAAUCUCACCUCGCGUGGGCUUAAGGUAAGCUCGGUGACAAAAGCUAAGUCGUAACA
rnacentral:rRNA from 1 species